GCGCGAAACCUUCACAAUGCACGAAAGUGUGAUGAGGGUACUCCGAGUGCGCAUACAUUGUAUGUGCUUUUCUGCAGCGUAAAUAGUUGCAGGAAUAAGGGCUGGGCAAGACCGGUGCCAGCCGCCGCGGUAACACCGGCAGCCCUAGUGGUGGCCGCUUUUAUUGGGCCUAAAGCGUCCGUAGCCGGAUAGGCAAGUCUUUGGGUAAAUCCUACGUCUUAAGCGUGGGAAUUCUAAAGAUACUACCUGUCUUGAGGCCGGGAGAGGCUAGAGGUACUCCUGGGGUAGGGGUAAAAUCCUAUAAUCCUGGGGGGACCACCGAUGGCGAAGGCAUCUAGCUGGAACGGGCCUGACGGUGAGGGACGAAACCCAGGGGAGCGAGCCGGAUUAGAUACCCGGGUAGUCCUGGGCGUAAAUGAUGUGGGCCUGGUGUGAGCGCAUCGACGUGGUGCGUUUGUGCCGUAGGGAAGCCGUUAAGCCCACCGCCUGGGGAGUACGGUCGCAAGGCUGAAACU
rnacentral:rRNA from 1 species